rnacentral:rRNA from 1 species
ACUCCUACGGGAGGCAGCAGUGGGGAAUAUUGCACAAUGGGCGCAAGCCUGAUGCAGCGACGCCGCGUGGGGGAUGACGGCCUUCGGGUUGUAAACCCCUUUCAGCACAGACGAAGCGCAAGUGACGGUAUGUGCAGAAGAAGCACCGGCCAACUACGUGCCAGCAGCCGCGGUAAUACGUAGGGUGCGAGCGUUGUCCGGAAUUACUGGGCGUAAAGAGCUCGUAGGUGGUUUGUCGCGUUGUCCGUGAAAACUCACAGCUUAACUGUGGGCGUGCGGGCGAUACGGGCAGACUGGAGUACUGCAGGGGAGACUGGAAUUCCUGGUGUAGCGGUGGAAUGCGCAGAUAUCAGGAGGAACACCGGUGGCGAAGGCGGGUCUCUGGGCAGUAACUGACGCUGAGGAGCGAAAGCGUGGGGAGCGAACAGGAUUAGAUACCCUGGUAGUCCACGCCGUAAACGGUGGGUACUAGGUGUGGGUUUCCUUCCUUGGGAUCCGUGCCGUAGCUAACGCAUUAAGUACCCCGCCUGGGGAGUACGGCCGCAAGGCUAAAACUCAAAGAAAUUGACGGGGGCCCGCACAAGCGGCGGAGCAUGUGGAUUAAUUCGAUGCAACGCGAAGAACCUUACCUGGGUUUGACAUGCACAGGACGCUGGUAGAGAUAUCAGUUCCCUUGUGGCCUGUGUGCAGGUGGUGCAUGGCUGUCGUCAGCUCGUGUCGUGAGAUGUUGGGUUAGGUCCCGCAACGAGCGCAACCCUUGUCUCAUGUUGCCAGCACGUAAUGGUGGGGACUCGUGAGAGACUGCCGGGGUCAACUCGGA